GACGAACGCUGGCGGCGUGCUUAACACAUGCAAGUCGAACGGAAAGGCCCUGCUUGCAGGGUACUCGAGUGGCGAACGGGUGAGUAACACGUGGGUGAUCUGUCCUGCACUUCGGGAUAAGCCUGGGAAACUGGGUCUAAUACCGGAUAGGAGCCAUUUUUAGUGUGAUGGUUGGAAAGUUUUUUCGGUGUAGGAUGAGCUCGCGGCCUAUCAGCUUGUUGGUGGGGUAAUGGCCUACCAAGGCGGCGACGGGUAGCCGGCCUGAGAGGGUGGACGGCCACAUUGGGACUGAGAUACGGCCCAGACUCCUACGGGAGGCAGCAGUGGGGAAUAUUGCACAAUGGGCGCAAGCCUGAUGCAGCGACGCCGCGUGGGGGAUGACGGCCUUCGGGUUGUAAACUCCUUUCGCUAGGGACGAAGCUUUUUGUGACGGUACCUAGAUAAGAAGCACCGGCUAACUACGUG
rnacentral:rRNA from 1 species